AACUUUAUAGUCAAUUUAUGAUAUUAGACUGCAAUUCUAAAGGAAUAAAAUAUUAAUUUUAUUAAAGUUU
rnacentral:tRNA from 1 species